rnacentral:rRNA from 1 species
UGGGGAAUAUUGCACAAUGGGGGAAACCCUGAUGCAGCAACGCCGCGUGAGUGAUGAAGGCCUUCGGGUUGUAAAGCUCUGUCUUUGGGGACGAUAAUGACGGUACCCAAGGAGGAAGCCACGGCUAACUACGUGCCAGCAGCCGCGGUAAUACGUAGGUGGCAAGCGUUGUCCGGAUUUACUGGGCGUAAAGGGCGCGUAGGCGGCGCGGUAAGUCACUUGUGAAAUCUCUGAGCUUAACUCAGAACGGCCAAGUGAUACUGCUGUGCUAGAGUGCGGAAGAGGCAACCGGAAUUCUUGGUGUAGCGGUGAAAUGCGUAGAUAUCAAGAGGAACACCUGAGGCGAAGGCGGGUUGCUGGGCCGACACUGACGCUGAUGCGCGAGAGCCAGGGGAGCAAACG